rnacentral:rRNA from 1 species
GAUGAACGCUGGCGGCGUGCCUAAUACAUGCAAGUCGAGCGAACAGACGAGGAGCUUGCUCCUCUGACGUUAGCGGCGGACGGGUGAGUAACACGUGGAUAACCUACCUAUAAGACUGGGAUAACUUCGGGAAACCGGAGCUAAUACCGGAUAAUAUAUUGAACCGCAUGGUUCAAUAGUGAAAGACGGUUUUGCUGUCACUUAUAGAUGGAUCCGCGCCGCAUUAGCUAGUUGGUAAGGUAACGGCUUACCAAGGCAACGUUGCGUAGCCGACCUGAGAGGGUGAUCGGCCACACUGGAACUGAGACACGGUCCAGACUCCUACGGGAGGCAGCAGUAGGGAAUCUUCCGCAAUGGGCGAAAGCCUGACGGAGCAACGCCGCGUGAGUGAUGAAGGUCUUCGGAUCGUAAAACUCUGUUAUUAGGGAAGAACAAAUGUGUAAGUAACUAUGCACGUUUUGACGGUACCUAAUCAGAAAGCCACGGCUAACUACGUG